rnacentral:sRNA from 1 species
UUUUAUUUCUCUUCUUU